CCUACGGGAGGCAGCAGUGAGGAAUAUUGGUCAAUGGACGAGAGUCUGAACCAGCCAAGUAGCGUGAAGGAUGACUGCCCUAUGGGUUGUAAACUUCUUUUAUAUGGGAAUAAAAUGUUCCACGUGUGGGAUUUUGUAUGUACCAUAUGAAUAAGGAUCGGCUAACUCCGUGCCAGCAGCCGCGGUAAUACGGAGGAUCCGAGUUUUAUCCGGAUUUAUUGGGUUUAAAGGGUGCGUAGGUGGAUUGUUAAGUCAGUUGUGAAAGUUUGCGGCUCAACCGUAAAAUUGCAGUUGAAACUGGCAGUCUUGAGUACAGUAGAGGUGGGCGGAAUUCGUGGUGUAGCGGUGAAAUGCUUAGAUAUCACGAAGAACUCCGAUUGCGAAGGCAGUUCACUGGACUGCAACUGACACUGAGGCUCGAAAGUGUGGGUAUCAAACAGGAUUAGAUACCCUGGUAGUC
rnacentral:rRNA from 1 species